rnacentral:rRNA from 1 species
UACGUAGGGGGCAAGCGUUGUCCGGAAUCAUUGGGCGUAAAGCGCGUGUAGGCGGUUCGGUAAGUCUGCUGUGAAAGUCCAGGGCUCAACCCUGGGAUGCCGGUGGAUACUGUCGGACUAGAGUACGGAAGAGGCGAGUGGAAUUCCCGGUGUAGCGGUGAAAUGCGUAGAGAUCGGGAGGAACACCGGUGGCGAAGGCGGCCAGCUGGCGCUGACCUGACGCUGAGGCGCGAAGGCAUGGGGAGCGAACGGGG